GGUUAAGCGACUAAGCGUACACGGUGGAUGCCUAGGCAGUCAGAGGCGAUGAAGGGCGUGCUAAUCUGCGAAAAGCGUCGGUAAGCUGAUAUGAAGCGUAAUAACCGACGAUACCCGAAUGGGGAAACCCAGUGCAAUUCGUUGCACUAUUGCAUGGUGAAUACAUAGCCAUGCAAGGCGAACCGGGGGAACUGAAACAUCUAAGUACCCCGAGGAAAAGAAAUCAACCGAGAUUCCCCCAGUAGCGGCGAGCGAACGGGGAAGAGCCCAGAGUCUGAAUCAGUUGGUGUGUUAGUGGAAGCGUCUGGAAAGUCGCACGGUACAGGGUGAUAGUCCCGUACACAAAAACACACUGGCUGUGAACUCGAUGAGUAGGGCGGGACACGUGACAUCCUGUCUGAAUAUGGGGGGACCAUCCUCCAAGGCUAAAUACUCCUGACUGACCGAUAGUGAACCAGUACCGUGAGGGAAAGGCGAAAAGAACCCCGGCGAGGGGAGUGAAAUAGAACCUGAAACCGUGUACGUACAAGCAGUGGGAGCACCUUCGUGGUGUGACUGCGUACCUUUUGUAUAAUGGGUCAGCGACUUAUAUUUUGUAGCAAGGUUAACCGAAUAGGGGAGCCGUAGGGAAACCGAGUCUUAACUGGGCGUCUAGUUGCAAGGUAUAGACCCGAAACCCGGUGAUCUAGCCAUGGGCAGGUUGAAGGUUGGGUAACACUAACUGGAGGACCGAACCGACUAAUGUUGAAAAAUUAGCGGAUGACUUGUGGCUGGGGGUGAAAGGCCAAUCAAACCGGGAGAUAGCUGGUUCUCCCCGAAAGCUAUUUAGGUAGCGCCUCGUGAACUCAUCUUCGGGGGUAGAGCACUGUUUCGGCUAGGGGUCCAUCCCGGAUUACCAAACCGAUGCAAACUCCGAAUACCGAAGAAUGUUAUCACGGGAGACACACGGCGGGUGCUAACGUCCGUCGUGAAGAGGGAAACAACCCAGACCGCCAGCUAAGGUCCCAAAGUCAUGGUUAAGUGGGAAACGAUGUGGGAAGGCAUAGACAGCCAGGAUGUUGGCUUAGAAGCAGCCAUCAUUUAAAGAAAGCGUAAUAGCUCACUGGUCGAGUCGGCCUGCGCGGAAGAUGUAACGGGGCUAAACCAUGCACCGAAGCUGCGGCAGCGANNNNNNNNNNNNNNNNNNNNNNNNNNNNNNNNNNNNNNNNNNNNNNNNNNNNNNNNNNNNNNNNNNNNNNNNNNNNNNNNNNNNNNNNNNNNNNNNNNNNGACUUGGUAAAUCCGGUUGCUUAUCAACGCUGAGGUGUGAUGACGAGCCACUACGGUGGUGAAGUAGUUGAUGCCAAGCUUCCAGGAAAAGCCUCUAAGCAUCAGGUGACAUUCAAUCGUACCCCAAACCGACACAGGUGGUCAGGUAGAGAAUACUCAGGCGCUUGAGAGAACUCGGGUGAAGGAACUAGGCAAAAUGGUGCCGUAACUUCGGGAGAAGGCACGCUGGCAUUAGGUAAAGAGACUUGCUCUCGGCGCCGAAGCCAGUCGCAGAUACCAGCUGGCUGCAACUGUUUAAUAAAAACACAGCACUGUGCAAACACGAAAGUGGACGUAUACGGUGUGACGCCUGCCCGGUGCUGGAAGGUUAAUUGAUGGGGUCAGCCGCAAGGCGAAGCUCUUGAUCGAAGCCCCAGUAAACGGCGGCCGUAACUAUAACGGUCCUAAGGUAGCGAAAUUCCUUGUCGGGUAAGUUCCGACCUGCACGAAUGGCGUAAUGAUGGCCAGGCUGUCUCCACCCGAGACUCAGUGAAAUUGAACUCGCUGUGAAGAUGCAGUGUACCCGCGGCAAGACGGAAAGACCCCGUGAACCUUUACUAUAGCUUGACACUGAAUAUUGAGCCUUGAUGUGUAGGAUAGGUGGGAGGCAUCGAAGCGUGGACGCCAGUCUGCGUGGAGCCAACCUUGAAAUACCACCCUUUAAUGUUUGAUGUUCUAACUCGGCCCCAUAAUCUGGGGUGAGGACAGUGUCUGGUGGGUAGUUUGACUGGGGCGGUCUCCUCCCAAAGAGUAACGGAGGAGCACGAAGGUUAGCUAAUCACGGUCGGACAUCGUGAGGUUAGUGCAAAGGCAUAAGCUAGCUUGACUGCGAGAGUGACGGCUCGAGCAGGUACGAAAGUAGGUCUUAGUGAUCCGGUGGUUCUGAAUGGAAGGGCCAUCGCUCAACGGAUAAAAGGUACUCCGGGGAUAACAGGCUGAUACCGCCCAAGAGUUCAUAUCGACGGCGGUGUUUGGCACCUCGAUGUCGGCUCAUCACAUCCUGGGGCUGAAGUAGGUCCCAAGGGUAUGGCUGUUCGCCAUUUAAAGUGGUACGCGAGCUGGGUUUAGAACGUCGUGAGACAGUUCGGUCCCUAUCUGCCGUGGGCGUUGGAAGAUUGAGAGGGGCUGCUCCUAGUACGAGAGGACCGGAGUGGACGCAUCACUGGUGUUCGGGUUGUCAUGCCAAUGGCAUUGCCCGGUAGCUAAAUGCGGAAAAGAUAAGCGCUGAAAGCAUCUAAGCGCGAAACUUGCCUCGAGAUGAGUCUUCCCUGGGGCUUUAAGCCCCCUGAAGGAACGUUAAAGACUAUGACGUUGAUAGGCUGGGUGUGUAAGUGCAGCGAUGCAUUGAGCUAACCAGUACUAAUGAUCCGUGAGGCUUAACCUU
rnacentral:rRNA from 1 species